GACGAACGCUGGCGGCGUGCUUAACACAUGCAAGUCGAACGGAAAGGCCUGCAGCUUGCUGCGGGUACUCGAGUGGCGAACGGGUGAGUAACACGUGGGUGACCUGCCCUGCACUUCGGGAUAAGCCUGGGAAACUGGGUCUAAUACCGGAUAGGACUGCACCGUGGGGGUGUGGUGGAAAGUUUUUUCGGUGUGGGAUGGGCCCGCGGCCUAUCAGCUUGUUGGUGGGGUAAUGGCCUACCAAGGCGGCGACGGGUAGCCGGCCUGAGAGGGUGGACGGCCACAUUGGGACUGAGACACGGCCCAGACUCCUACGGGAGGCAGCAGUGGGGAAUAUUGCACAAUGGGCGGAAGCCUGAUGCAGCGACGCCGCGUGGGGGAUGACGGCCUUCGGGUUGUAAACUCCUUUCACCAUCGACGAAGGGUUUCUGACGGUAGAUGGAGAAGAAGCACCGGCUAACUACGUGCCAGCAGCCGCGGUAAUACGUAGGGUGCGAGCGUUGUCCGGAAUUACUGGGCGUAAAGAGCUCGUAGGUGGUUUGUCGCGUCGUCUGUGAAAUUCCGGGGCUUAACUCCGGGCGUGCAGGCGAUACGGGCAUAACUUGAGUACUGUAGGGGAGACUGGAAUUCCUGGUGUAGCGGUGAAAUGCGCAGAUAUCAGGAGGAACACCGGUGGCGAAGGCGGGUCUCUGGGCAGUAACUGACGCUGAGGAGCGAAAGCAUGGGGAGCGAACAGGAUUAGAUACCCUGGUAGUCCAUGCCGUAAACGGUGGGUGCUAGGUGUGGGUUUCCUUCCACGGGAUCCGUGCCGUAGCUAACGCAUUAAGCGCCCCGCCUGGGGAGUACGGCCGCAAGGCUAAAACUCAAAGGAAUUGACGGGGGCCCGCACAAGCGGCGGAGCAUGUGGAUUAAUUCGAUGCAACGCGAAGAACCUUACCUGGGCUUGACAUAUACAGGAUCGCGCCAGAGAUGGUGUUUCCCUUGUGGCUUGUAUACAGGUGGUGCAUGGUUGUCGUCAGCUCGUGUCGUGAGAUGUUGGGUUAAGUCCCGCAACGAGCGCAACCCUUGUCUUAUGUUGCCAGCACGUUGUGGUGGGGACUCGUAAGAAACUGCCGGGGUUAACUCGGAGGAAGGUGGGGAUGACGUCAAAUCAUCAUGCCCCUUAUGUCCAGGGCUUCACACAUGCUACAAUGGUCGGUACAGUGGGUUGCCAGUCCGUGAGGGCGAGCUAAUCCCGCAAAGCCGGUCUCAGUUCGGAUCGGGGUCUGCAACUCGACCCCGUGAAGUCGGAGUCGCUAGUAAUCGCAGAUCAGCAACGCUGCGGUGAAUACGUUCCCGGGCCU
rnacentral:rRNA from 1 species